CACGGGGGGAGCAAGCGUUGUUCGGAAUCACUGGGCGUAAAGGGCGUGUAGGCGGUCAGGUAAGUGAGAUGUGAAAUGCCCCGGCUCACCCGGGGACCGGCAUCUCAUACUGCUUGGCUUGAGUACGGGAGAGGAUGUGGGAAUUCCUGGUGUAGCGGUGAAAUGCGCAGAUAUCAGGAAGAACACCCGUGGCGAAGGCGGCUCUCUGGUACGUGACUGACGCUGAGACGCGAAAGCGUGGGGAGCGAACAGG
rnacentral:rRNA from 1 species